rnacentral:lncRNA from 1 species
GUUUAUAUAGUGGAGCACGGUAUGGCGCUGUCAUUAAUGGCGCGGACAAGUGAGGAACUGUCAACUCACUAUGGACUGUCAGAGUCGCCGUGAAAACGUUAUGUCGCCGGGUGGCUGUCCAAUUACCAGGGUUGACUAUGCCCUGUGCGGGACAAUGCCCCUAGGUAGCCGUGCCGCAUGUCCGUGUCAGAGCUGACAACGUCUGGCGGCUGUACGGUGGUUGG